rnacentral:rRNA from 1 species
GCCUACGGGAGGCAGCAGUGGGGAAUAUUGCACAAUGGGCGAAAGCCUGAUGCAGCAACGCCGCGUGAAGGAAGAAGGUCUUCGGAUCGUAAACUUCUGUCCUUGGGGAAGAUAAUGACGGUACCCUUGGAGGAAGCCCCGGCUAACUACGUGCCAGCAGCCGCGGUAAUACGUAGGGGGCAAGCGUUAUCCGGAUUUAUUGGGUUUAAAGGGUGCGUAGGCGGGAUGCCAAGUCAGCGGUAAAAAUGCGGUGCUCAACGCCGUCGAGCCGUUGAAACUGGCGUUCUUGAGUGGGCGAGAAGUAU